GGUUCGAUGGCGUAGCUGGUAACACAUCCUGUCUUGGUUCUUGCACAAGCACCUCUGCAGGAAGUCCGAAGUUCGAUCCUUUGUCAAGCCA